AUGCAUGCUUUUACAGUAUGGAAAUUGGUGAUUUAUAAUAACUUGGCAAAUCGCAAAGUGAAAACAGGCGAUAAAUCAUUCAAGUUUCUGACCUAUCAGCUUUCGACGGUAUGGUAUUGGCUUACCGUGGCAGUGACGGUUAACGGGGGAUUAGGGUUCGAUUCCGGAGAGGGAGCCUGAGAAACGGCUACCACAUCUAAGGAAGGCAGCAGGCGCGCAAAUUACCCAAUUCUAACAGUUUGAGAGAGGUAGUAACAAGAAAUAACAAUACAAGGCAAUUAAAAUGCUUUGUAAUUGGAAUGAUAGAAAUUUAAACCCUUUUUAAAGUAUCAAUUGGAGGGCAAGUCUGGUGCCAGCAGCCGCGGUAAUUCCAGCUCCAAUAGCGUAUAUUAAAAUUGUUGCAGUUAAAAAGCUCGUAGUUGAAGUUCUGCUAAAAGUAACCGGUCUGCUUUUAAUAAAAGUGGUAUCUUGGUGUGUAUUUAGCAAUGAUGUCCUUUGAAGUGUUUUUUACUUUAUUGCAAUAAAGCAUAUUCAGGACUUUUACUUUGAGAAAAUUAAAGUGUUUCUAGCAUGCCGACGCUUUGAAUACUGCAGCAUGGAAUAAUAAGAA
rnacentral:rRNA from 1 species